rnacentral:rRNA from 1 species
GACGAACGCUGGCGGCGUGCCUAACACAUGCAAGUCGAGCGGGAACCUCAGGAGGGGUAACCCUCCUGAGGGGAGAGCGGCGAACGGGUGAGUAACACGUGGGCAACCUGCCCCGGACACCGGGAUAACCCAGGGAAACCUGAGCUAAUACCGGAUACUCCGGCGAGAUCGCAUGGUCGCGCCGGGAAAGCUCCGACGGUCCGGGAUGGGCCCGCGGCCUAUCAGCUUGUUGGUGGGGUAACGGCCCACCAAGGCGACGACGGUUAGCUGGUCCGAGAGGACGGCCAGCCACACUGAGACUGAGACACGGCCCAGACUCCUACGGGAGGCAGCAGUGGGGGAUCUUGCGCUAAUGCGCGAAAGCGUGACGCAGCGACGCCGCGUGGGGGAUGAAGGCCCUCGGGUUGUAAACCCCUUUCGGCAGGGACGAAGCGAAAGUGACGGUACCUGCAGAAGAAGUCCCGGCUAACUACGUGCCAGCCGCCGCCGUAAUAC